AACGCAUAUUGCACUCUCUGGCAUUCCGGAGAGUACACCUGUUUCAGUAUCAAAAAUGUCAUCCAAAGUUUUGGUUUGUUUGUAUACCAAAACUUAUGGGAUUUGGGUUUUGCGGAAAAUUUUCUGCUGGCCUUAAAUGGUUCGGCCACAAAAAUCCAGGCGAUAAGGCGUAAUAGUUGGUACUCUUGGUUCCAUCCUUUCGCUGAAGCUUGUCAUUUUUGAAUCAAUGGCUCGAUAAUAUGGAAAAAACGAAAUGUAUUUAUAUGUUUCACCAUUGUUUGGAUCUGAAAUCAGGUGGGACUACCCGCUGAACUUAA
rnacentral:misc_RNA from 1 species